UGGGGAAUUUUGGACAAUGGACGCAAGUCUGAUCCAGCCAUUCCGCGUGCAGGAUGAAGGCCCUCGGGUUGUAAACUGCUUUUGUACGGAACGAAAAGGUCUCUCCUAAUACGAGGGGCUCAUGACGGUACCGUAAGAAUAAGCACCGGCUAACUACGUGCCAGCAGCCGCGGUAAUACGUAGGGUGCAAGCGUUAAUCGGAAUUACUGGGCGUAAAGCGUGCGCAGGCGGUUAUAUAAGACAGAUGUGAAAUCCCCGGGCUCAACCUGGGAACUGCAUUUGUGACUGUAUAGCUAGAGUACGGUAGAGGGGGAUGGAAUUCCGCGUGUAGCAGUGAAAUGCGUAGAUAUGCGGAGGAACACCGAUGGCGAAGGCAAUCCCCUGGACCUGUACUGACGCUCAUGCACGAAAGCGUGGGGAGCAAACA
rnacentral:rRNA from 1 species